ACAAGCCGUGAAGGUCCGCCCUGAAAAGGAGCGGUCCCUUUCACCAGGCCACCCUUGUUUACUCUUAACCUGUUGCUUUGGUGGGCCCGCCGCCAAGGCCGCUGGGGAACUCUUUGGUUCCCGGGCCAGUGCCCACCAAAGACUUGUGAACUCUUUGGAUGUCUGCUGUCUGAGCUACGCGAAUGCAAGUCUUUAAA
rnacentral:misc_RNA from 1 species